CAUCAAAUUUUUAAUCUAAAAAUCUAAAUAUUUCAUCAAAUUUUUAACCCAAUUGAAAAUUAGCUGAGUCCAAAUCCUGAUCGAAUUAGAAUCAAAUUUUUUUUAUAAUCAGGUUUGAUCAUAUCCAUCCCAAUAUGAGUCAAACUGAAUCUAGUUCAGUUAGACUUAUUCCAAAGCUCUUUACUCAAUCAAUUGAGUCAAUUAAUAACCUAAUUACUAAUUAAUUCUUCAUAAAUUGUAGAGUCUUAAUCUCAAUGGGACUCUCCCACAGAGUCCUAGUCCAAGUACGACUCUUCAUCAGAAUCACAAUCCAAUUAGACUCUUUCAGCCAUC
rnacentral:lncRNA from 1 species